AUGGGUCCCAUGGCACUCAGGUGCAAGAAUUGUCGCAUGAUGUUUCUAAAUCAAAGGUCAUCUGGCUUUGGUGUCCUGCAGAAAAAGGUGGGUGGCAAUGUCAGCCACUAUAAGGUAGCUUUGUCCCUCCAACUCUUCAUCCAAGAGACUGGAACAGAGGAAGGGGCCUCGUUUCUAGGGCACGGCGGCCGCCUCCAUUUCCCUGGCUUCUCGGCUGAGCACCGUGUCGUCGUGGGCCCUGGGGAAUCCCAGAGCAUUUCCAGAGUUCUCCAAGGACCUGACCCCAGAAGACCCAGAUGUCCCUCUCAAAGUCGAGCAGCCUUACAGGGAGGUUCAAGCGAAGACAGUGCUGAGUGUCUGAGCUCCUGCUCCGCUCCUGCAGUGGGAGAAGCUCUGGCUGGGCCCCAGCGUCUCCUGACAGCUACUCUCUGGGCCUCCUGGCCUGCCUGGAUCCCGCUUCUUAGAGCAAAGGUGAGACUGGCCACCUGCUUGUUUGUACCCAGGACAAACUGUGUACACAGCCUGGUCCAUAAACCCCCCUGAGCUCCCUGCAGCUUGCCUGUCCCGUCUCCCCAGGAGGCCGAUUGGAGGAGAGCUGCUCUCUGUCCUGGAGCUGCCCCUGCCCUGGCCAUGCCCUGGCUGCAUUUCUGGAUCAAUGCCCACUGACCAGAGGCCUGACUGUGUCACUGACCUACACGUUGGUGCCACUUCCCUGAGGGGCUCAUAUGUGGACGUUUCAUGGAAGGGACGGCCCCUCUACUUUUUUGAUGAGGUUGAAUUUAAACAGGAUGAAACUUUGGCCCUUGUCACUUUUUUUUUUUAAUGUUUUUAAUUAAAUUGCCUGGGUCACUGACACCCUGGAGAGACUAGGAAAUGCAGCGUUGCAGUUUGUUAAUGAUACACCAUCUGUUUGUUCGCACUGUGUAGUCACAUGAUCUUUGCUCUGCAGAACAUCCUGUCUCACUGGCCUAAACCAGUUUGCGGCUGAAAUGCUUAGGAUGAAUGCCAGAAAAUCUCUCUCUUUUUCUUUGUCUCUCUCUCUCUCUCUCCUCUCCUCUCCUUUCUCCCUCCCUCCCCCUUUCUUUCUCUUACCCAUUUUAAGAUUGGCUGUUAACUCCAAACUUGUUGGCAGAAUUUGUAUUAAUUAUUUAUGACACUUCGUCACCCGGUUCCAUUGCAGUAUUGUAGCUUGACUUCUGAGCCAGUAAGGUGGCCAUAGCUCUGACAAAUGGGGGAAAUUUCAGGGUUGGGGUGGGGAAAGCCCAUGACAGCUGGCCUUUGAGGGCAGCACCGCCCAGCCACAGCUCCCGGGGAAUCGCGGACCCCCCAGGGCAGCAGAAGGUGAAACCAGGGAGCCCCUUCUGACCCAUCACCAAUGGUCUCGUUGUGACUCAUUUUCUUUACCCCUACAAUUCAUGAUCAUUGACUCAUCUCACACGAUAAUUAGAUUAAGUCCAUGACAAGUGCUGCAUCCUAGCUAUUUUGCUGUUGCUGUUGUGGUCCAGGCUGGAAUGCAGUGGCACGAUCUCAGUUUGCUGCAUCCUUCACCUCCCUGCAACCUUCACCUCCCAGGUUCGAGUGAUUCUCCUGCCCCAGCCUCCUGAGUAGCUAGGAUUACAGACACCUGCUACCAUGUCCUGCUAAUGUUUGUAUUUUUAGAAGAAGUGGGGUUUUACCAUGUUGGUCAGCCUGGUGUCAAACUCUUGACCUCAAGUGAUCCCCUGCCUUGGCCUCCCAAAGCGCUGGGAUUACAGGCAUGAGCCACCACCCCUGGCCCAUCCUAGGUUUUUCUCGAUUUUCAUUUUUUUGAAAUGGAGUGAGAGGUGAAGCUGGCUAGGCUUUUGAUUCAGGUGGGGACUUGGACUUUUCUGUCUAGCUAGAGGAUUGUAAACACACCAAUCAGUGCUCUGUGUCUAGCUAAAGGUUUGUAAAUGCACCAAUCAGCACUCUGUAAAAAUGCACCAAUCAGCACUCUGUGUCUAGCUAAAUGUUUGUAAAUGCACCAAUCAGCACUCUGUAAAACGGACCAAUCAGCACUCUGUAAAAUGGACCAAUCAGCAGGAUGUGGGUGGGGCCAAAUAAGGGAAUAAAAGCUGACCACCCAGGAGGCAGCAGCAACCCGCUGGAGUCGCCUGCUAUGCUGGGGAGUGGUGGUUCUUUUGUUUUUCACAGUAAAACUUGCUGGUGCUCACUCUUUGGGUCUGCAGUACCUUUAUGAGCUGUAAGGUUGCGAGGGACAGCCUCAUUCCUGAAGUCAGCGAGAGCAUGAAUCCACUGGGAGGAACAAACAACUCCAGACACGCCACCUUUAAGAGAUGUAACACUCACUGUGAAGGUCUGUCGCUUCACUCCUGAAGUCUGUGAGACCACG
rnacentral:lncRNA from 1 species